CGCCGCCGUUGGAAAAAGUCCAGCAAGCAGGGUUCAGUCACAACUUCCUCUCUUCUUCACCGGCGAUGAGGCUGUGACCUGCAAAACAAAAAAACGCAACAACACAGUCGACUCUCUCCUUCUUAGAUCUGUUUAGAUCUGCUUCUCUCUCGUUCUUCUCCGGGUAGCAGACUUGUUGUGGAGUGUUGGGCGACUCGCCGGGCGACUCGUGGGGUCGGUCACCGGCUAGAUCGGGUAAAUCGCCGACCCUUCUUUCCUCUUCGGCUAGCGGUGGGUCUGUGGGCUGCUGAAACUAGGAGGCGAUGGCUGAGAGGAGAAGAAACCCACGGGUCCAAGCUGGGGAAGCAGCGGUCGUCUUCAACAGGAAAAGGGAAGCUUCGGCU
rnacentral:lncRNA from 1 species